rnacentral:rRNA from 1 species
GCAUAUCAAUAAGCGGAGGAAAAGAAACCAACAGGGAUUGCCUCAGUAACGGCGAGUGAAGCGGCAACAGCUCAAAUUUGAAAUCUGGCCCUUUCAGGGUCCGAGUUGUAAUUUGUAGAGGAUGUUUCGGGCGUGGCUCCGGUCUAAGUUCCCUUGGAACAGGACGUCAUAGAGGGUGAGAAUCCCGUAUGUGACUGGUAGCCUAUGCCCAUGUGAAACUCCUUCGACGAGUCGAGUUGUUUGGGAAUGCAGCUCAAAAUGGGUGGUAAAUUUCAUCUAAAGCUAAAUAUUGGCCAGAGACCGAUAGCGCACAAGUAGAGUGAUCGAAAGAUGAAAAGCACUUUGGAAAGAGAGUUAAACAGUACGUGAAAUUGUUGAAAGGGAAGCGCUUGCAACCAGACUUGCACGUGGCCGAUCAACCGGUGUUCUCACCGGUGCACUCGGUUGCGUUCAGGCCAGCAUCGGUUUCGACGGUUGGAUAAAGGCCCCGGGAAUGUAGCUUCUUUCGGGGAGUGUUAUAGCCCGGGGUGCAAUGCAGCCUGUUGGGACCGAGGACCGCGCUUCGGCUAGGAUGCUGGCGUAAUGGUUGUAAGCGACCCGUCUUGAAACACGGACCAAGGAGUCUAACAUCUAUGCGAGUGUUUGGGUGUCAAACCCAUACGCGUAAUGAAAGUGAACGGAGGUGAGAACCCUUAAGGGUGCAUCAUCGACCGAUCCUGAUGUCUUCGGAUGGAUUUGAGUAAGAGCAUAGCUGUUGGGACCCGAAAGAUGGUGAACUAUGCCUGAAUAGGGUGAAGCCAGAGGAAACUCUGGUGGAGGCUCGCAGCGGUUCUGACGUGCAAAUCGAUCGUCAAAUUUGGGUAUAGGGGCGAAAGACUAAUCGAACCAUCUAGUAGCUGGUUCCUGCCGAAG